ensembl:lncRNA
CUUUCUUUACCCAGCCUGGGACACUACAAGAAAGACAUUGAGGCCCUGGAGCGUAUGCCGAGAAGGGCAAUGAAGCUGUGAAGGGUCUUAAGCACAAGCCUUACGAGGAGUGGCUGAGGGAACUGGGAUUAUUCAGCCUGGAGAAAAGGAGGCUCACGGGAGACCUUAUCACUCUUUACAACUGCCUGAAAAGAGGUUGUGGCGAGGUGGGGGUCGGCCUCUUCUCCCAGGGAACAGCAAUAGGAUGAGAGGAAAAGCAUCCGUCAGACUUUGUGCCUGAUUUGACACCACAGAAUGCAGCUAAAAGCCAUGAACCCACCGCUGCUCAGCCUUCCUGCUGCACCCGCCUGGGCAGGCUGUGCUACAGCUGGGAGAACUGCCCUUCCUUGGGGUGCUGGUGGCAGAGUGGACCCCUGCUCCAGCUGCUCUGCUGGUGCUUUGCUCCAGCUCCUCAUCCAACCCCAGUGGCAGCAAUUCCAAUGCUGGAAGGUGGCCAGCAGCAUGGGCCAGCCUCCUGGUUGCUCAGCACACACCACUGAGAGCCCUUGGCACACGGUAUCACACACACACACACACACGCACACACACACCCUCCAACGCAUCCAUCCCUUCCCUGUGCGUUGCCCCUGCUCUUGGAGCCUGCAACAUGAGGGCCCAUUGCAGCGCACGGCGGCAGCGGAGCCAGCACGUUUUCUUUCCCAGAACCUCGUAAUGAAUGUGUUUUGCAAAAAUAAAUAAAGAAAUAAAGGAGCGAAGGAAAAUG